UGGGCGCAAGCCUGAUCCAGCCAUGCCGCGUGAGUGAAGAAGGCCUUAGGGUUGUAAAGCUCUUUCGACGGGGACGAUGAUGACGGUACCCGUAGAAGAAGCUCCGGCUAACUUCGUGCCAGCAGCCGCGGUAAUACGAAGGGAGCAAGCGUUGUUCGGAAUUACUGGGCGUAAAGGGCGCGUAGGCGGAUGAUCUAGUCAGAGGUGAAAGCCCUGGGCUCAACCCGGGAAUUGCCUUUGAAACUGGUCGUCUUGAGUGCGAGAGAGGGUGGCGGAAUACCCAGUGUAGAGGUGAAAUUCGUAGAUAUUGGGUAGAACACCAGUGGCGAAGGCGGCCACCUGGCUCGCAACUGACGCUGAGGCGCGAAAGCGUGGGGAGCAAACAGGAUUAGAUACCCUGGUAGUCCACGCCGUAAACGAUGUGUGCUAGCCGUUGGGGGGCAUAAGCCUCUCGGUGGCGCAGCUAACGCGAUAAGCACACCGCCUGGGGAGUACGGCCGCAAGGUUAAAACUCAAAGGAAUUGACGG
rnacentral:rRNA from 1 species